rnacentral:rRNA from 1 species
AAAUUGAAGAGUUUGAUCAUAGCUCAGAUUGAACGCUGGCGGCAGGCCUAACACAUGCAAGUCGAACGGUAACAGGAAGCAGCUUGCUGCUUUGCUGACGAGUGGCGGACGGGUGAGUAAUGUCUGGGAAACUGCCCGAUGGAGGGGGAUAACUACUGGAAACGGUAGCUAAUACCGCAUAACGUCGCAAGACCAAAGAGGGGGACCUU